rnacentral:rRNA from 1 species
GACGAACGCUGGCGGCGUGCUUAAUACAUGCAAGUCAACUGAACUUAAGAUAGCAAUAUUUUAAGGGAGGUGGCGCACGGGUGAGUAACACGUAGGUAAUCUGCCUUUAGGUCUGACACAACCCCGAGAAAUCGGGGCUAAUAUCAGAUGAUGCAGCGGCUCGACAUCGAGACAGUUGUUAAACCUUCGGGGCCUAAAGAUGAGCCUGCGUCUGAUUAGGUAGUUGGCGGAGUAAAAGCCCACCAAGCCUGCGAUCAGUAGCUGGUCUGAGAGGAUGAUCAGCCACACUGGAACUGAGACACGGUCCAGACUCCUACGGGAGGCAGCAGUAAGGAAUAUUGCUCAAUGGCCGAAAGGCUGAAGCAGCAACGCCGCGUGGAGGAUGAAAUACUUUUGAUGUAAACUCCUGUAAGAAGGGAAAAUAUUCCGAUUUAUCGGAUUGAUUGUACCUUCAGAGUAAGCCCCGGCUAACUACGUGCCAGCACG